AAAGAAAAAAGACAAAAAAAAAAAAAAAAAAAGGAAUGAAUAAAAGUAUGGAUAGGCUGAAACCACUAUGGUUUAGUGGCUACUGGAGCUGAUGAUAGUACAUAAGGGUUUGUGAAACUCUUUUUCUCUACUUACUUUGGCUAUACCCACAGCAUGCGGAAGUUCUUAGGGCAGGGAUUGAAGCACGUCAUUGCAGUGACCCAAGCCACCGUAGUGACAACAAUGGAUCCCUAGCCUACUGCACCACAGAACUCCACGUUUGUGAAACUUCUACUUUUAUGUAUAUUCGAAAUUCUCAUAAUUUUUUUGGGGGGGAGGGCCACACCUGCAGCAUAUGGAAGUUCCCAGGAUAGGGGUCGAAUUGGAGCUGCAGCCACCAGCCUUAUGCCACAGUGACAGCAACAUGGGAUCCAAGCCACAUCUGUGAUCUACACCACAGUUUAUGUCAAUGCUGGAUCCUUAACCCACUGAGAAAGGCCAAGGAUCGAACCUGCAUCCUCAUGGAUACUAGUUGGGUUCGUAACCCACUGAGCCACAACAGGAACUCCUAUAUGAGUUUUUUUAACCAUAAUAAUUCUGAUGCAUGAAUACAAAUUUCAAAGUUUCUGAAUAACACUUCUUAAAAUAAUGCUGUUACAUGGCACAAAGAUUUUAAAUACCAAGUUAUUUUGUUAUUUAUGAACAUGGGAGAGGACUGUUUAAUAGCAAAACCAUAGUCAGAGUGAUACUGUAAGCAAAGAGUUAUGUGGCCCAGUAUUUCCUAUUGGUAUGUUGCUGUAUUUCAGAAAGACAUAUUGGUUUGACUUUGACCAGUGAUCCUCAAAGUUGAGUGUGCAUCUAAAUGCCUGGGAGCUAAUAAAAUAUAUAGAUUCCAGGCCUGUGCCAUAGAGACUCUGGUUUGGAGACUUAGGGUAGUAUCCAAGAAUUUACAUUUCUAGUAAGCUCAUUAGGUGAUUUAUCAGCUCUACUACUUGUUAGAUUUUCAUUUCAUUGAAGUAGAAGAAACACAAAAUGCAAUGGUGAAAUAUUUUAAUUAAAGCUUAUUUCAACAAAAGUGACUUCAAGGUUUUAUGGAUUAUUUUAAAGAAAAUCUUUACAAAAGAUACUACGUACAAAUCAGUCAUCACUGUCAUGAUGUUUCUAUGUACUUUUAUAAUUGCAUCAUAACAAACACAAAGAGGCUAAGUGAUAACAAUACUGGCCCCAAAGUUUUCUUGAAACUAUUAGACUAAUCAAGAUACUCAUUUAUGUUAUGCUAGGAGUAUAUAGCCAAUUAGUCCAGCCAAAGGCUUAGUUAUAUGCAGGGAAAAAUUGAAAAGCUGAACAGAAUUCCUGGUUUGUGUAUAUUUAGGUCCACUGACAACCACCUUCCUUUAAGCUGUGGAUCCUUUUCUCUCAUUCUUCAUAGUAUGGAAUGGCAUGGCACAGGAUGUUUGGGGCCAGAGAUAACAGGCAGUGUCAUCUCCAUCACAGCGAAGAAAAGGAAGCCCUAAUCAUGCUUAUUUAGAAAUGUGAUAAAUAAACUUUAAGGGUUGUCAGGCCGAAAGAAAAGAAAGGAACUCUAGCAUAAUGGAAUACCUGUUAUACAUACACCAGGUAGGUGCUUCGCAUACCUUGAUACAAAGCUGCUGCUGGGCCACUACAGAAGCCCCUGUUCCAUUUAGCUUUUGACAGUUAUGUCUAAACAAUGUCUAACAAUGAGGUUUCAUUUUAUUACAUUAGCAUAAUAGCAAUCUAAGGAGACAGGGUGUUCUCUUGAUCCAGACAACCUACUGCAGAGGCCAAAGGAUGCUAACUGAAAAUAGAUUUUUAUAUAUUACAGUUCUUAAAAACAGAGGAACCAUAAAAUGUGAGUGGAAUUAAUGACACAUUUUCCUUUUUUUCUAUUCUGAGGUAGUCAUCAAAACCUGUGGGAGAAGACGUGUCUACUAAGGAGGCAUGUUAUAAUCCUGAUGCUGAGGCAGGGGUUCCGUGCCAGUCUCACUCUUUAACUGUGGUAAACUGAACAGAAGGACAACUGUGGGAUCUCAUUAACUCAUUCACACAUCUUACCUCUUAGAUAAGGUCUAAUAGGAAGAGUUCCUUUUACUACAUCAAUGAACUACAAAUUAUCAUCACUCCAAGGCAAGUCUAAAAUCUCUUUUGGUCUUAAACAUCUGUGACUUCUCUAUUAAACACACCUAGAAUAAAUUAACAUUGACAAUUGACGCCAUAGGAAUGAAUCUUCUGUGGCCUCUAUUGAAGCCUUAAAUCUAGUUUCUUUACCCCUGAGAUGUUAAAUGUGGGGUAAAAUGAAUGGAAAUACCGUCUCCCUAAAAACUGAACUUUGAGGACCAUAGCCACCCUGUCCAGUGCUGAGUGGACAGAGUCUAUCCCUAGGUCAAGUGCCAGGUCUGCUGUUAUAAAGGGAACCUGGAACCCACACCAGCAAGGUAGCCUAUUCCCAUGAUCCUGCCAUUUCUACAGCAAGCCUGCUCCAACCACAAAUGUUAAGCUGCAUAGCUUCUGACCUUCAAAAUGUAGCAAGAUUAUAUAAAUCAGACCUGCUAAUGGAGAUAGCUCACUGGGAUUAAGCUCUGAGGUAUCUGGUGAUAGAAGGGUGCUGGCUAUGCUUCUCCUAGUGUCUGUGUAGCAUAAGGAUAUGAAGUGAGUAUACUGAUUAGCGGUGGUGCUCACCUUGAUCUAAAAACGUAGGGGAGGAGAGCCUGCUCUUCUCACUUGGAGGAGGGGAGGCAAGACCCAGGGGUAUAGCCAUUUGCAUUUUAUACUCUGAACAGAGUGCUGGCUCUGGUGGAUUUGUUGGCAGAUUGUCCUUGUCUCCAGACAUGGGUGAAGCCAGCUGGGACACAUAAUUCAAACUGGCUUCUCCGGCUGGGAUUUCUCCCAGGGAGCUCAUGUAGUUUUUCUCUAGUGCCUUUAGUAAAUUUCCAGGUGAAGUCAGUGGUCCUGGCUGACCUGGUGGGACUUGAGGGGUUACUGGGAAAGGGCCACAAGAACCAGAACCAGAAGCUGCCUGAUUAUAGGUAAAGUUCUCAAAACAGAUGCAAGGUCCAGAGCCAGGGUAGUUCUUCUCCGUCGGGAGGAGGUAAAGGUAGGUAGGCUUAGUAAAUUCAGCUUCUGUGAGUGAUUUCCUAGCGUCUACAAACUGUUUCUUACUCCCUUCUGGCUUGUUUAGGACUUCAAUAGCAUCUGGGACACAGUCGUUGACAUUCAUUAUUGUUAGGUGAGGAUUCUCCUGGAACAGAAACAGAAAAUGUGCAAAGAUAAUGCGUAUGUGUGUGUGUGUGUGUGUAUCACAGUACAGAAAGUAUGUGAAAUGCAUUUAGAGCCUCACAUUUGUGUGUGUGUGUGUGUGUGUGUUUUAUCCUGGUCACAGGUGGUGUUGAAAACCAGUACAUUUCUUCUGACAGAAGAAAUCAAAGCUGUAUUCAUCCAUUUCCUGGCUUUGGGAGCAGAGGUGGCCCGUGCUUUGUUCUAUCUUCCUGAGGUGGCCUAGGCGUGUAUGGUUAUCACAGCCCCAAUCCUGCCAUCUUUAAGACGUAUAUGGUAUGUAUACAAUGACCCAGCACUUACCUUGGACUUUAUUACUGACAGGACACUGCUCUUGUAAGGGUCUGGAAUAUCAGGAUAACACUUCUCCUUCAGCCUAGAAAAACAGUGAAAAUUAGACUGAAUUUUGCAAUACGGUGGAAUAGAGUGAAAACUCUGGAGUCAGAUUCCUGGGUUCUAAUCCUUGCUCUGUCACUCAUUAUUAGUGUAACCUUGAGCAAACGUUUUAAGCCGUCUAUGCUCUAAUUUCCUCAUCGGCUCAAUGGAGAUCAUUAUGGCAGUUGAUGGUGGGUUUGGGAGGAUUAAAUGAGUUUUUAUAUACAAAGCACUUAGAAAACUGCCAAGCACAUGGUUAACUGAAAUAGAAAUAUUUGCUAUUGCCAUCAAACAAAUUUUGCAAUAUUUUUAUAUUAUUUAUGUAUUAUUUUUUCUUUUUUAGGGCUACACCUGCAGCAUAUGGAAGUGCCUAGGCUAGGGGUCGAGUCAGAGCUGCAGCUGCCGGCCUACACCACAGCCACAGCAACGCCAGAUCCAAGUUGUUUCUGCAACCUACACAGCUGCUUGUGGCAACACCAGAUCCUUAACCCACUGAGCAAGGCCAGGGAUUGAACCUGCCUCCCCAAGGACACUAUGUCAGGUUCUUGACCCUCUGGGCCACAAUGGGAACUCUUUGUAAUAUUUUUUAAUGGUUGGUUUCCUUAUGUAUUGACUUGUUGCUUAUCUGUUGAUAAGAUUAAAGUUUUCAAAUUUUCACCUAAUCCUCCUUUGUCCUUUCCUUUUUCAGUGCUUUUUCUCAUAUUAUCCAGAGUGAUUUCUAUCUUACUAAGCUCCUUAUAGAUUUUUCUUUGACUUUCAUCUUGGAUGAAAUCUUCCCACCAUACUUACCACUGACUUUUUAAGUAGCAAACGAUCAUGAUGAGCAAAACGCAGAAAAUCAUGGGGAGAAGGAUGCGUAUCAGUAUAUGGGCUAGAGAAGGAAAAAGAGAGGGACGUUUUUAAGGACGGCUUUUCCCACAAAGGAAGAUGUUUCCAUGUCCAUCAUUGCUCAAAACUCUAUUUGUACAGGAUUCAAUAUGAGAUCUGCCUGACUAGGGUGGGAGGGGUGAGACCCCAACCAACCAACCAAGGGAACCAUCCUCCCUCAACACUUGUGAUGCAAACUCAUCACCCCUCCUGAGAGAUGGGUCAUUUCUCCCAAUUCUUCACUCCCUCCCUGUAUUAGAAUCAUUCUCUGCACCCUUGACGUGGGGCUCAGCCACGUGAUUCGGUUUGGCCAAUGGGAGGUGAGUAGUUGGCAUGCUGGUAACUGCUUUAUAUGUGCUUAUAUAAAGCUUGCUCUCUUGCGCUCCUGUGACCCACCCUGAGAAGAGCCGGAACCUCAGAGCCACUGCCCCUUCAGCCUGAGGCUCAGGGUGAAGCUCCAAGGAACCAACCUAAACCUGCCUGCAGCCUGGAGUCCUUUCUGGCCCAGCCUCCAUAGCCAAGCCAGGUGCAUCAAAAGAAAGAUUUCUUUCUCUGGGCCGCUGAGAUUUUGAGGUAUUUGAUUACAUCUCAAAAACUGAAGAAUACACCUCUGCUAGCUGGUCUCUGAUAAAAUUACCUCAGUCAUAACCUGGGAUAAUUAUUCUAUUUUUUUAAUUUGUCAGACACGUCGACCUGUGCUUCAUUUCUGCAAAUGCCUGUCUUCCUGUUGGCUCUGCUGGCAAACCUACCAUAGAACAGUUUCAUCCAGAAAAAGAGAUAAAGAGACUGAAGGAGAGAGAAGGAAGAUUUUAAAGAUUCCUGAUCUAGACAAAGCCCAUGGCCAUGUAUGUGUCAGUUUCCCAGGAAACUGGGAAAGAGUUUUGAUCUGGAAAAACUCACAGUAUUCAUCCGGAGUCGUGACUUUGGUGAAGGCGCCCAGGGGGCCCUCGCCAGCGCUCGUGUAGGGAGUGACGAGAAACUCAUAGAUGGAUUCUGGCUGCAGGUUUUCCACGACAAAUGUCUUUUGUUCUGGGUCGUCGAUUCUAUGUUUGCAACAUACUGAAUCACCUGUGGUUUAAAAAAAAAAAAAGUUUCUUUUUUUUUAAGACGCAAAAAUGAUUACGAGUGUGAUAAAGGCCUUGUGAGAGAGUUAGGGACCAAGACUCUGGGUGAUGCUACACUGCCAACAUUUUUAAAGCAACCAAAAAUGAAAGCAUACUUUCAUCCCACUGGGGACACUGGUAAAAGGUUCAGGAAACAGCCAGCAAAGCCAGCACUGCUGAGAUGUUGGGGGCCCACUGGGGAAGCCCUCAAGUCUGCAAGAGAGAGUAAGAGGCUGGGAGAGCUACUUAAAAUACAUUGACCUUCACAAAGUCAAAGAAAAAAAGAGAAGGAGGCUAACAAGAAAGCUCCCUAAGUGGUAGCUUUCUUAAGGAGCUGAGGGUACUUCAAAUGCUUCUAAAAAUACCAGGCCUUAUUGUUUUUAAGGAAGUCAAAAUCCUGGCUCUUACAGCCUUGUCUGUCCUACUAAAUGCACACUGUUCGAUCAUAAAAGCAUGCGAGCAUAGAAUUCGCCUGGUCAGAGACUGCAGGCAGCCUUUCCAAUGAUUUCCAGUAAGAUCUUGAAACUGUAAAGUGACAAAAAAGCUAAAAAAUAAAAAUUACCUGUGAGGAGACCUGUCUUUUUAAAUCCUGGGAGGCACUGCUCCCCCGCCUUGGAUUUCAGGUAGAGGUAGUACCCUUGGAUGAAACCAGGCUGGGAUUCAGUGGAAUAAUCCUUCCAACUCAGAGUGAAGGAGUGGGAGGUCAAGUUACUCGUGACCACUCGAGGGUUGUCUGAAGGAGCUAGAAAAGGAAGUUGAGAUAGUGUAAGAGUCCCCAUUUGUAAAUAGUCUCCCGUGUAAACUAAAAGUGGAACCACACCCAGCUCCUCAGGUGCUUUAUCCUGUUCUCUAGAGGGUGGAUGCCCUGACGUGGUCUGAGACAGCUGGGAAGGAGUUGAGCAACCGUCUGUUCAAGCUUUGCCUCUCCCAGAUGUAGAAAUGGAUGCCAGAGAGACUUAAUAAGAUCAUACAGCAAAAAAAAAAA